GAUGAACGCUGGCGGCGUGCCUAAUACAUGCAAGUCGAGCGAACAGACGAGGAGCUUGCUCCUCUGACGUUAGCGGCGGACGGGUGAGUAACACGUGGAUAACCUACCUAUAAGACUGGGAUAACUUCGGGAAACCGGAGCUAAUACCGGAUAAUAUAUUGAACCGCAUGGUUCAAUAGUGAAAGACGGUUUUGCUGUCACUUAUAGAUGGAUCCGCGCCGCAUUAGCUAGUUGGUAAGGUAACGGCUUACCAAGGCGACGAUGCGUAGCCGACCUGAGAGGGUGAUCGGCCACACUGGAACUGAGACACGGUCCAGACUCCUACGGGAGGCAGCAGUAUGGAAUCUUCCGCAAUAGGCGAAAGCCUGACGGAGCAACGCCGCGUGAGUGAUGAAGGUCUUCGGAUCGUAAAACUCUGUUAUUAGGGAAGAACAAAUGUGUAAGUAACUAUGCACGUCUUGACGGUACCUAAUCAGAAAGCCACGGCUAACUACGUG
rnacentral:rRNA from 1 species